rnacentral:rRNA from 1 species
AUGGCCGCGGUAUUUUGACCGUGCAAAGGUAGCAUAAUCAUUAGUUUUUUAAUUGAAAGCUGGAAUGAAUGGUUGGACAAGAAAAUUUCUGUCUCUAUCUAAUUUUUAGAAUUUUAUUUUUUAGUUAAAAAGCUUAAUUUUUUUAGGGGCGCGCAACCCCUAUAGAAUUUUACAUAUUUGUUUAUUUUUAAUUUUUAGUUAAAUUAUUAGAAAAUAAGCUAAAUUUGUUUAGUUGGGGUGGAUGAAAAAUUUAGAAAACUUUUUUUGAUUUAGAUCAUUGAUUUAUGAAUAUAAUUGAUCCAUUAGUUGUGAUUAUAAAAUUAAAUUACCUUAGGGAUAACAGC